ACGGGUGAGAAGCGCGUAGGAAUCUGCCUUGUAGAGGGGGACAACCCGAGGAAACUCGGGCUAAUACCGCAUAAUCUCGAAAGAGUAAAGGCUGGGUAGCAAUACCUGGCGCUACAAGAGGAGCCUGCGUCCGAUUAGCUAGUUGGUGGGGUAAAGGCCUACCAAGGCGAUGAUCGGUAGCUGGUCUGAGAGGAUGAUCAGCCACACUGGGACUGAGACACGGCCCAGACUCCUACGGGAGGCAGCAGUGGGGAAUAUUGGACAAUGGGGGCAACCCUGAUCCAGCAAUGCCGCGUGUGUGAAGAAGGCCUUCGGGUUGUAAAGCACUUUAGGCUGGGAAGAAGUUAGCUAGUUUAAGAGAUAGGCUAAUUGACUGUACCAGCAGAAUAAGCACCGGCUAACUCUGUGCCAGCAGCCGCGGUAAUACAGAGGGUGCAAGCGUUAAUCGGAUUUACUGGGCGUAAAGGGCGCGUAGGCGGUUGUUUAAGUGAGAUGUGAAAACCCUGGGCUUAACCUAGGACGUGCAUCUGAUACUGAAUGACUAGAGUACUGUAGAGGGUAGUGGAAUUUCCGGU
rnacentral:rRNA from 1 species